GCCCGUUGGAUCAAUCGGACCGCGCACUGGAAUCACAAUCCAGAGGUCGCUGGUUCGAAUCCCGCGGCGGGCG
rnacentral:tRNA from 1 species